GUCUUCGUGGUGUAGUGGUCAGCACGCUGGGCGCGUAUUCCAGAGGUCCGUGGUUCGAGUCCCGGCGAAGGCG
rfam:Stegodyphus mimosarum contig20655, whole genome shotgun sequence.